rnacentral:lncRNA from 1 species
UCCGUUAUUGACCUAAGUGGCUUUGCUUCUACCCAUUUGGUCAUAUAGUCUAUGACAACUAUAACAAAACUGACCUGACCUUUUGCUUUUGGUAGUGGACCCAGUAUAUCAACCCCCCAGACAGCGAAGGGUAUAGGAGAUAAGAUCGAGUAUAGCUCUUUCGGUGGCUGAUGAGGUAUUGGACUGUUGAGCUAGCACUUCU